rnacentral:rRNA from 1 species
AUUGAACGCUGGCGGCAGGCCUAACACAUGCAAGUCGCACGAGUGGCGGACGUGUGAGUAAUGUCUGGGAAAAUGCCUGAUGGCGGGGGAUCACUACUGGAAACGGUAUCUAAUACCGCAUACCAUCGGAUGUGCACAUAUGGUAUUAGCUAGUAGGUGGGGUAACGGCUCACCUAGGCGACGAUCCCUAUCUGGUCUGAGAGGAUGACCGGCCACAGUGGAACUUAGACACGGUCGAGUCUCAGACGGGAGGCAGAAGUGGGGAAUAGUGCACAAUGGGCGCAAGCAGGAUGCAGCCAUGCCGCGUGUAUGAAGAAGGCCUUCGGGUUGUAAAGUACUUGCAGCGGGGAGGCGGUACCCGCAGAAGAAGCACCGGCUAACUCCGUGCCAGCAGCCGCGGUAAUUC